CGGAAUUUCAGUUGGUAUAUAC
rnacentral:miRNA from 15 species